UACAGAGGUCUCAAGCGUUGUUCGGAUUCAUUGGGCGUAAAGGGUGCGUAGGUGGCGCCGUAAGUCAGGUGUGAAAUCUCGGGGCUCAACCCCGAAACUGCACUUGAUACUGCGGCGCUCGAGUACUGGAGAGGAGAUUGGAAUUUACGGUGUAGCAGUGAAAUACGUAGAUAUCGUGAGGAAGACCAGUGGCGAAGGCGGGUCUCUGGACAGUUCCUGACGCUGAGGCGCGAAGGCCAGGGGAGCAAACGGG
rnacentral:rRNA from 1 species